AUGAAUGUUGGCGGCGUGUCUAAGGCAUGCAAGUCGAGCGGAUUUCAUCUAGUAGCAAUACUAGGUGGAGUUAGCGGCAAACGGGUGCGUAACACAUUGGCAAUCUGCCUCACAGUCGGGCAUAACCUCGCGAAAGCGAAGCUAAUUCCACGAUGGUCUCCCCAGCCGUAUUGGCAGGGGAGUAAAGCGCAAAACGCGCUGUGAGAGGAGCCUAUGGCCUAUCAGCUAGUUGGCGGGGUAAUAGCCCACCAAGGCGAUGACGGGUAGGGGAUGUGAGAGCAUGAUCCCCCUCACUGGGACUGAGACACUGCCCAGACACCUACGGGUGGCUGCAGUCGAGAAUAUUCCUCAAUGGGCGAAAGCCUGAAGGAGCGACGCCGCGUGCAGGAUGAAGGGCUUUGGCUCGUAAACUGCUUUUCCCAAGGAAGAACAUUGACGGUACUUGGGGAAUAAGAGGUUGCUAACUCUGU
rnacentral:rRNA from 1 species